rnacentral:rRNA from 1 species
GGGCCCGCACAAGCGGUGGAGCAUGUGGUUUAAUUCGAUGCAACGCGAAGAACCUUACCUACUCUUGACAUCUACAGGAUCCUGCGGAGACGCGGGAGUGCCUUCGGGAACUGUAAGACAGGUGCUGCAUGGCUGUCGUCAGCUCGUGUUGUGAAAUGUUGGGUUAAGUCCCGCAACGAGCGCAACCCUUAUCCUUGUUUGCCAGCGAGUAAUGUCGGGAACUCCAGGGAGACUGCCGGUGAUAAACCGGAGGAAGGUGGGGACGACGUCAAGUCAUCAUGGCCCUUACGAGUAGGGCUACACACGUGCUACAAUGGCGCAUACAGAGGGCAGCAAGCUAGCGAUAGUGAGCGAAUCCCAAAAAACGUUUCGUAGUCCGGAUCGCAGUCUGCAACUCGACUGCGUGAAGUCGGAAUCGCUAGUAAUCG